AAAUUAAUGACACUAAGAAAGAAGAAGAAGCAGAAAAUAAAUGACCUCAAUAUAAUGAUGUUGAAGAUCUAUUUUUUGUUUUUGUACUUACUGUUAUUUGUGUUGUCGUGUGCUUUUUUCAUGUACGCGCAAAGAAGGACAUCGCGCAUCCUCCUAUAAUUUGACUGAUUUGAUGAUGCAACCUCAUCAAUAUAAAGUUUAAGAUAGACCUGGGAAGGACAGGAAAAAAGUUAUAACUGUUAUAAAGAUCAUCAUAAAAAUACAUAUAUA
rnacentral:ribozyme from 14 species